UUGCCCGAGUUGGUCUAAGGGGUUGCACUUAAGAUGCACUAUACGUUCGUAUGCGGGGGUUCGAAUCCCCCAGAA
rnacentral:ncRNA from 14 species